UAUAAUUGUCUAUAUUCUUUUUGAAGGGUUAAUUGUAUGUGUGUAUACAAGUAAAAUGAUUCUUGGAGAAAAAUGAAUGAUUACAAGGGGAUAACACUUCGUUCUCUUUCCUCCGCUCUGAUAUUCUAGCCAACUCCAACGACAAUUAUCGUUGUUCGUCAGUGAUUCAGACGGUGGUUCUCUGCGGUUUUCCAAUGGGCCUCCGGAUCUGCUCCUCUGUUGAAAAUUUGUUGCUAGUUCUCUAGUUUUCCAUUGAUUCCUUUCUAGUUCUCUGCUUAUUUCACACAACGCAAUCAUUCGCGAUCUCUCUUUCACUCUCAUUCUCAGAGGCAUUCUCGAUCCAUGGAAUCUCCGUCUCAUUCUCUCACGAUUACUUCCCUGUGAAGCUUGCUCAAGGUUCUCUUCAACAUGCUCACUCGUCGUCUUUGUCAAUCAUCUUCGAUCUAUGCUCUUUGUCAUUGAGCUUCUCCGAGGCGUAGUCAACCACCACCGUCUUCUUCUGAUGGCGUCUUAGUCAUCGAUUUUGUAUGCUCUCGAUCACUGUUCGUUGUUGUUUGUCGCACCGGUUUUGCAUCUUCAUCCAUCAUCUCUGCCAAAGCUUUCCUUGCCAAGAAGAAAACAAAGAAACCAGAAAUAGAAAAGUAGGGUUUGCGGUCACGGCAACAAUCACGAUCCUUGAUGUUACCGUGAAAUGUGGCGAAAGAACUCCAAUUGCAGUAAGAACCCAACUCAUGGUGAUAGAUCUUCUUUUAAAGUCCUACAAAAGAGAAGAGAAGAAUAAGACAAGAGACGCUAUAUUACCUCUUUCAACUUAUAAUGCAAGCUAAGCAAGGAUGGCAAUAGAUUAUAUUUUCUAUAUCAAAAGCUGAAAUUCCAAAGUUAUAUUCUUCUUUCAUAUAUAAUAAAAGCACUUUAUGA